rnacentral:rRNA from 1 species
CAAGCCUCAUACAUGCAAGUCGAACGCGAAAGUGUAGCGAUACAUGAGUAAAGUGGCAAACGGGUGCGUAACACGUGGGAAUCUCCCCUUUGGUUCGGAAUAGCUCCGGGAAACUGGAAUUAAUACCGGAUAAGGUCUAUGGACGAAAGAUUUAUCGCCGAAGGAUGAGCCCGCGCCGGAUUAGCUAGUUGGUAGGGUAAUGGCCUACCAAGGCAAAAAUCCGUAGCUGGUCUGAGAGGAUGAUCAGCCACACUGGGACUGAGAUACGGCCCAGACUCCUACGGGAGGCAGCAGUAGGGAAUAUUGGACAAUGGACGCAAGUCUGAUCCAGCUAUGCCGCGUGAAUGAUGAAGGCCUUAGGGUUGUAAAGUUCUUUUAGCGAAGAAAAUAAUGAUGGUACUCGCAGAAAAAGCCCCGGCUAACUUCGUGCCAGCCGCCGCAGUAACAC